rnacentral:rRNA from 1 species
GUAGGUGGCAAGCGUUGUCCGGAAUUAUUGGGCGUAAAGCGCGCGCAGGUGGUUCUUUAAGUCUGAUGUGAAAGCCCCCCGGGCUCAACCCGGGGGAGGGUCAUUGGAAACUGGGGAACUUGAGUGCAGGAGAGGAAAGUGGAAUUCCGCGUGUAGCGGUGAAAUGCGUAGAUAUGUGGAGGAACACCAGUGGCGAAGGCGACUUUCUGGCCUGUAACUGACACUGAGGCGCGAAAGCGUGGGGAGCAAACAGGAUUAGAUACCCUGGUAGUCCACGCUGUAAACGAUGAGUGCUAAGUGUUGGGGGGUUUCCGCCCCUCAGUGCUGCAGCUAACGCAUUAAGCACUCCGCCUGGGGAGUACGGUCGCAAGACUG